rnacentral:lncRNA from 1 species
GAUAAGUAACAUAUACAAUUCCUUGAUAACACUUUGAUAGUGUUUAUAUAUUUUAUCAGAUAACAAAAAGACAAAAAGUAUUUAUUGACAUGUAUUGACAGAUAUACGCUUUAAGAGUGUUAUUUAAAUAAUAAUUUAUUUCAGCACUCGUGUGUUUUUGGUAACAUGCAAAGACUGCAGACUUAAUGGACGAAAAUACGCGCGAGUUCGAACCUUUCAUUUGUCACUCGUUUUUGCGAGUAUAUCAUAUAGCAAGUUAAAAGUUUAAAGUUAUGAUAUAAGUCAUAUUAAGUUAAUACUGUGGUCAGUGGAUUCUUGAAAAAUAAUCCACCGUAAGAACAAUAGACUGACGUCAGAGAAAUGGGUUAAGUUUCCAUAUUUUUCGAUUAUCUGGGGGAUCGGGCAGGGAUUUCUACCCCAAGUUAAGUACAUGUUGUUUUGAAAGAUUGUUUUUAACUUGAAUUUAUAAAUGUUUAAUUCAAUAAUAAUUCAUUAAAUGCAUAUACCAAGCCAA